UCAACUAUUUUUCUGCAACAUACAAACUCAUAUCAAAUGCAAUUAAUACUUGAUUAUAGAUUGACCAAACUCAAUUUAGUUGAAAUGAGAAUGAUGGGCACUUUCAAUUAUCAUGCCCAGCAUAAUUGAUCCAAGAAUGUCAAAGCAAUUUAGCUAGCACAGAUAAGACUGCUAAGUCUAUUUCUGCAGUGAUUUAGGGUUGUUUUUUUAGAAAAUACUCAUAUGAGUAUUUCUCAAAUGAUAUUUUUUUAUUUUUAUUUUUUAAACAGUAUUUUAAAUUUUAAAAAAUGCAAAUUAUUCUUCAGAAAAUUUGUUUGUUAUAAUGUUUU
rnacentral:lncRNA from 1 species